GGUGACCAUGGCGGAGAGGUUCCACCCGUUCCCAUCCCGAACACGGUAGUUAAGCUCUCCCGCGCCGAUGAUACUGCAGGGGUGACUCUGUGGGAAAGUAGGUCGUUGCCG
rnacentral:rRNA from 1 species